UAGAAAAAUAAGCUAAUUUUAAGCUUUUGGAUUCAUAAUCCAAAUAUAGGACUCCUUUUUUCU
rnacentral:tRNA from 1 species